CAUGAUCUUUAUGCCAAAGAUUUAUCGCUUCAAGAUGGCCUCGCGUCUGAUUAGCUGGUUGGCGGGGUAACGGCCCACCAAGGCGACGAUCAGUAGCCGGACUGAGAGGUUGAACGGCCACAUUGGGACUGAGAUACGGCCCAGACUCCUACGGGAGGCAGCAGUGGGGAAUAUUGGGCAAUGGGCGCAAGCCUGACCCAGCAACGCCGCGUGAAGGAAGAAGGCUUUCGGGUUGUAAACUUCUUUUAAGAGGGAAGAGCAGAAGACGGUACCUCUAGAAUAAGCCACGGCUAACUACGUGCCAGCAGCCGCGGUAAUACGUAGGUGGCAAGCGUUGUCCGGAUUUACUGGGUGUAAAGGGCGUGCAGCCGGGUCUGCAAGUCAGAUGUGAAAUCCAUGGGCUCAACCCAUGAACUGCAUUUGAAACUGUAGAUCUUGAGUGUCGGAGGGGCAAUCGGAAUUCCUAGUGUAGCGGUGAAAUGCGUAGAUAUUAGGAGGAACACCAGUGGCGAAGGCGGAUUGCUGGACGAUAACUGACGGUGAGGCGCGAAAGUGUGGGGAGCAAACAGGAUUAGAUACCCUGGUAGUCCACACUGUAAACGAUGAAUACGAGGUGUGCGGGGACUGACCCCCUGCGUGCCGCAG
rnacentral:rRNA from 1 species